CAACUCUCGGCAACGGAUAUCUCGGCUCACGCAUCGAUGAAGAACGUAGCAAAAUGCGAUACUUGGUGUGAAUUGCAGAAUCCCGUGAACCAUCGAGUUUUUGAACGCAAGUUGCGCCCGAAGCCUUCUGGUUGAGGGCACGUCUGCCUGGGCGUCACGCAUCA
rnacentral:rRNA from 1 species